CAGUCGCCGCGGGAAAACGUAGGUGGCAAGCGUUGUCCGGAAUUAUUGGGCGUAAAGCGCGCGCAGGCGGAUCAGUUAGUCUGUCUUAAAAGUUCGGGGCUUAACCCCGUGAGGGGAUGGAAACUGCUGAUCUAGAGUAUCGGAGAGGAAAGUGGAAUUCCUAGUGUAGCGGUGAAAUGCGUAGAUAUUAGGAAGAACACCAGUGGCGAAGGCGACUUUCUGGACGAAAACUGACGCUGAGGCGCGAAAGCCAGGGGAGCGAACGGGAUUAGAUACCCGGGUAGUCCCUGUCUCUUAUACC
rnacentral:rRNA from 1 species